UGUGAAGUGUUUAAACUAUAGUACCUGGGUUUUAUAUAAAAAAAGAUAUGCUUAUUAACGCUCAUUGCUUCGUGGAAGACGAGGCGACACGUGCAUGGUACACGACACAAUGACAUUUAAAAAAAUGGAUACCAAAAUCCAGAAGCAGAGAUUGCUAGCGGGCCGUGUGAAAAAUAGGCCCAGACCUGUUCCAUCAUCUUUGCCUUUACAAAUCUGUAUCGUGUGCAAAUCUCUUCCAAUCUCAUAGCUUUCUUUGACUUGGCUCUUUGGCAAUAAUUAUGCAUUACUUAUGUAAGUUUUCCACACGGUACCUAGCUCAGAGGCAGUCAUCUUGAUCUACAAAAGGAAGACGUGAGCAAUUCAGUGAUCAUUCUUUUCCAGCCUACAUACCCUACCAGAGUUGGUUGAUUGUUUCACCUAUCACCAGUGUAUCACGUUGAAAAGUCUUUGAUCCAUUUUGUAUCACGUACAGUCCUGGCACAAAUGGUGUUUCUCGUGCGAAUCUUGCAGUAAGCACCUGGAUUCCACCACCGUGUCCGA